rnacentral:tRNA from 1 species
GAUAAAGUGGCCGAGGAUAGGCGGUAAACUGUAAAUUUACUUACGAAUAUUAUUCCUUUAUCA